rnacentral:tRNA from 1 species
GGAGGUAUAGCUCAGUGGGAGAGCACAUGCUUAGCAUGCAUGAGGCUCUAGGUUCAAUCCCCAGCACCCUG